UGCUCCCUCUGAGAGUUGAACUCAGGACCUCCCGCUUACUAAACGGGUGCUCUAACCAACUGAGCUAAAGGAGC
rnacentral:tRNA from 1 species